rnacentral:rRNA from 1 species
UCCCGAAAGGGAUUAGUAGAGUGGCAAACGGGUGAGUAACACGUGGGUGACCUGCCUUCGAGCGGGGGAUAACGUCCCGAAAGGGACGCUAAUACCGCAUGACAUCCUGCCUUUGAAGAGGUGGAGAUCAAAGCCGGGGAUUCGCAAGAACCUGGCACUUGAAGAGGGGCCCGCGCCUGAUUAGCUAGUUGGUGGGGUAACGGCUCACCAAGGCAACGAUCAGUAUCCGGCCUGAGAGGGCGGACGGACACACUGGGACUGAGACACGGCCCAGACUCCUACGGGAGGCAGCAGUGGGGAAUUGUUCGCAAUGGGCGCAAGCCUGACGACGCAACGCCGCGUGGAGGACGAAGAUCUUCGGGUCGUAAACUCCUUUCGAUCGAGACGAACGGCUUCCGGGUGAACAAUCCGGGAGAGUGACGGUACCGAGAGAAGAAGCCCCGGCUAACUCCGUGCCAGCAGCCGCGGUAAUACGGGGGGGGCAAGCGUUGUUCGGAAUUACUGGGCGUAAAGGGCUCGUAGGUGGCCAACUAAGUCAGACGUGAAAUCCCUCGGCUUAACCGGGGAACUGCGUCUGAUACUGGAUGGCUUGAGGUUGGGAGAGGGAUGCGGAAUUCCAGGUGUAGCGGUGAAAUGCGUAGAUAUCUGGAGGAACACCGGUGGCGAAGGCGGCAUCCUGGACCAAUUCUGACACUGAGGAGCGAAAGCCAGGGGAGCAAACGGGAUUAGAUACCCCGGUAGUCCUGGCCCUAAACGAUGAAUGCUUGGUGUGGCGGGUAUCGAU